GUGUUUGAAAAUAUUUGAUUUUAUAUGGAUGUGCGUUUACACUAUCAAUGUAUACCUUAUAUGGUAUACUUAUGUUCUCAUUUCAGCUACCUGAAAGCGCAUGUGGAGUUUUGAAUACGACGUGUACCAGUUCGCUAUGUAUCUGCAACUUUAUUCCAGCGCUCUAGCAGAAGUAUCCCAAUUGUCAGACUGAACUACGAAUGAGAAGUACAACGAUGCCGCAUAUUUCUGUUGUCGACGGUUCCAUAGAAACCAAGAUGGCCGGAUCAAUAGCCCUAUAUGUCCGACCGGUGUCAACUUUGUCAACCCUCUAUUUUAAGCCAGAGGACAUAGAGAACGAACUAGGCAGCAGACUGGAGACUAACACCAGGGCAUCUACCGACUACGUACUUACAAUGAAUGCGAUCUUGGACAAAAGGGAAUUCCGCUACCACUCGGAAAGGUGUCAUUGAAAAAUGCCAAGUUAGUGCUACUGAAAGAUGCUUUCGUCAUUGCGACAGACUUGGUGUACCAUCCCGACAAGGAAUAAUAAUUGUGACAUCACGCGGGACACAAGGGCCCAUGCCUUUUGGUCACAGAAAACAAACAUCUGUAAGUGUUGGGCAUCAGAACCCGACACUUUCAAAGACAUGCAAGAACAAAUGUUGAAGUAGAACGUCUUAACUAGCGAUACAAUGUUCACAAAUAUCACAUUUUCCCACUCAAGUGUAGUCAACCUUUUAAAUUGAUUUGCAUAUGUUUUUCUUUUAUAAAUUUUGUGCAUAUGAACAUUUGAUACAUUAUGUAAUUUCGUAAGCACAAAAAAUAUUUUGUUUUUGAUAUUGCUCUAUUUCUUUGCUAUACUUAAGUACUCACGCGUGUUCGUGUCUCAGCAUUUACCAUGUACUACAAAAAAUAGUUCGGAUGUUAAUCAGAUAGUGAUUCUGUUUUGUCACUAUUUACCCUUUGGGUUCUUGUAACAUCCGUAGUGUUUUAUGUUUUUUAGUAUCUAACACUGUGAUAUAUUUUGUUCCUCUCUCACAUAGUUCAAAGUACGGUUAACAAUAUUUGCUAUCACUAAUUCCUUUUGUUUUACAUAUGAGUAUAUUUUAGUCUGUGUUAAAUGCAUAACUGACUGUGAUAUUUUAUA